GGAUGGUGUUUGCUGAUGCCUGCAUAAGACCAAUUGAAUGAUAAAGGAUAGAAGACUAUCAAGUAACUGCACUACACUGUUAAAUUAAUUCUAUGCCUUAGAUCAAGCAAGUUCCGCCCUGUAUUUGGAUGAUUACACCCAUAUCAAUUCCAAUAAUCCAUUUCGUGUCUGACACAGAUGUGCUGGGAUAGAGCAAAGGAUCAGUUAUGAAUAAGUACCUGCACCAAGAAUACAUCC
rnacentral:misc_RNA from 1 species